GAUGAAGAACGUAGCGAAAUGCGAUACGUAAUGUGAAUUGCAGAUUUUAGUGAAUCAUCGAAUCUUUGAACGCACAUUGCGCCCGCCAGUAUUCUGGCGGGCAUGCCUGUUCGAGCGUCAUUUCAACCAUCAAGCCUUCGCUUGUGUUGGGGCCCCGCGGCUGCCGCGGCCCCCUAAAUCCAGUGGCGGGCUCGUCGUCGUACCGAGCGCAGUAGACAUCCUCACUCCGGGAACCCGACGGGUGCCGGCCGUGAAACCCCCCCCAUCAAGGUUGACCUCGGAUCAGGUAGGAAUACCCGCUGAACUUAAGCAUAUCAAUAAGCGGAGGA
rnacentral:misc_RNA from 1 species